UUUUUUUUUCCCUUUGGAAUUCCACUAGUUCCAAGGGUUGCUUGUUAACCCUAUCUCGGGACAGAUUUCUAACGACGAACAAGUAUAAAAUCUUUAGGUGACGUUUUCUUCUUGGCGCAUCCAUGAGGGACACCGGGCCAGAUGCCAGGAAUCUGCUCCGCUGUGUUCCUGCACGAGUUUCUAACUUGACUAACUCGAUGAAACCGGGGUUUUUGUUACUGGGUAGCCCCCACCCGGCCCGGUGAACUUGGCAAACACACCCGAUGGAAGCCUCACUCUGCCCACGUGUGUCCUGGGGCAGGCGGGCCACACCAGGAGCUGCUGUCAUUUCUUGGUUCCAGCUCAUUCGACUCAGCCUUUGGAGAAGACAUCUUGGUUUUAUUCCACCUCGGAGAAGUGAACUGUAAGGCCUUCUUUUCUCUUCCUGAAUCUCUCACCAUCUUCCCGUGAGAAGGUAUCUGAUCUGAAUGUCAGCAUGGGAAGCACAGCCCUAAGUCAGAAAACAUUCAGGUACCCAGGCGGGCUGCAUGUUGCCCAUAGAUGGACUGUUCACACAGCUAUUAACGGCAGCAUUCCUGGGCCCAGGAGCUGGGCCAAUAAGCUUACUUGCUCAGGCUUUGUGACAAGAAAGUCUGAGUAGCCAGGAAGUGGGAUGUUUGCAGGGAAAAGUACUACAGUCCCUCUAGGUCAAAACCCAUCCACCUGGUAUAAAUCAAAUCUUUACAUCAAUAAUGUUUCUGUAGUUAAGAACUGAGUCUACUUUUGUGUAUCCCCAACAACAGGGAUUAACUGUUUCAGGUUUACUUUGAAAAAUAGAUGUUGCUACCUAUUAAAAUGGAAAGAUUUUCAUGUUAUAAUGUCAAGCAAACAAUCUGAUUACCUGUGUGACCCCCAUUAGUUAUAAUGUGUUUAUAUGCCUACCAAGAAACUGUGAAGGUAACAUUUUUCUCUAGGUGGCUAGGUUUGUUUUGUUGGUUUUUGCUUGCCUGCAUUUUGUUUUCCUAUAUUAAACAUAUAUAACCUGGGUAUUCAAGGAAUAUUGAAAGUUCAAAAUAAAAAGUUCAGUUCUUGAGGAAAAAAAGUAUAUUAUUAAUAUCCUAGACCUAACAGGAGAGCACUUGAAGCCAUGUAUAUAAAUCUAAGGCAAUGAAGGAAUGUAGUUAGAAAAGAAAGGAACAGAUUUAGACUUAUCAGCUGUGUUUGGAAUUUUGAAUAACCUGCUAACCCAAGCAUGCUACUUGGUUCCUUUUUUUUGCUCAUUAAUCUCAUGAGUUCAAAAUGGGAAUGUGAAAAAUCCAUUCACUGCAGUAUGAUAGUGUGAUGGAUACAGUCAGCAAACUGUAUUAAUAUGGGGGUUUAAAAUUCUCAAAUAUCAUCCAACACCCUAGUGUGGUGCAAACACCACUUUCUGGUGAGGAAGGUGUUAACUAACCAACAAGCAAUAGUUUGUGGGAAAAUGUAUUUAAAGACUAAACUUCAGUCAUGAAUGUUUUAAAAGUGUACCUCUUCUAAAAUCAUGAAACUGGUCUAAGUAACUUUAUGAUAAUGUAAUUCAAUGUGAUUUAACAAAUAAUGGUACGUAUUCAUUAAAUACCAAAUUAAAUAAAAACAAAUUUCAUUUAAAAAAUGAAAACCACUUGAUAUUUGAAUUCUGAUUUUAGGCAGACAGGACAACAGCUAACUGAGAUAAUUUUAAAAGCUGCUGUGACCUCCUUUUUAUAUUCUUUGAGAACAUACAGGAAGGCUCAUAGCCUCAUUGAGCUUGCCUGUUUGCCAUGACAAGGCUGUGAUCCAUGAAGGGGACAAGAACACAUACUGUAGCAUUUACAAAGUCAAAAAGAGAUUGUACCUUUUCCCAAUUAGACAUUCUAUUUUUUUCUGAUUCUGGGCUGCCUAAGGUGUGGUCUGUAAUGUACUUAUUACAUAUAAUUUUUUUAAGGAAUAUUACAGUAUUCUGUUAAUUAUUAAGUGUAGUAUUAUAUGAAAAUGACAUGCUACAAGUAAAAAUAUUUAAAUCGUUUGGGACAUAGUGUUACCUAUUAAUCUUUAUAUUUUACCUGUAUAAACCAAAACAUGAGAAAUCCAUUUGAUUCGUCUAUGCACAUCUAAUUUUCAUCAUUAUAUGGAAAGUUGACAAGACCAGUUUAGAAAUUAUUUAUUAAUAAUUUUAAAUUAUUCACACCAGGACAUCCUUGAUGGUUAGGGGCUGUACCUUGGUGCUCCUAAUGCCGGGGGCCUGGGUUCCAUCCCUGGUUGGGAAACUAGGGUCCACAUGCUGCAACAGAAGAUCCUGCAUGCAGCAACUAAGACCUGGGAGAAAAGCUAUGAUGAAACUAGACAGCGUAUUGAAAAUCAGAGAUGUUACUUUGCCAACAAAGGUCCAUCUAGUCAAAGUUAUGGUUUUUCCUGUAGUCAUGUAUGGAUGUGAGAGUUGAAUCAUAAAGAAGGUUGAACGCCGAAGACUUGAUGCUUUUGAGCUGUGGUGUUGGAGAAGACUCCUGAGAGUCCCUUGAACUGCAAGAUUAAACCAGUCAAUCCCAAAGGAAAUCAAUCCUGAAUAUUCAUUAGAAGGACUGAUGCUGAAGCUCCAAUACUUUGGACACCUGUUGGAAGAACUAACUCAUCAGAAAAGGCCCUGAUGCUGGGAAAGACUGACAGCAGGAGAAGGAGAUGACAGAGGAUGAGAUGCUUGGAUGGCACCACUGACGUAAUGGACAUGAGUUUGAGCAAGCUCCAGGAGAUGGUGAAGAACAGGGAAGCCUGGCAUGCUGCAGUCUAUGGGGUCGCAAAGAGUGGGACAGUUGAGUGACUGAACAACAAAAGCCAAAUAAAUAAAAAUAAGUAUUAAAAAAUUAUUCACACACGUUCAUACAGUAGGCAAGGUACUAAAAGUUCAAAAUACAGUUUUGAGAAAUUUUCACCUAUUUUCCUCUCUUGGAAGUGAGAAAGGCAAAAAACUGUGGGUAGGAAAAUCCAUUAAGAAUCCAUAAGAAUAUCCUAUUAAACUGUGUAAAAAGAUGAAACACCAAAAAAUAAUUCCUGGAAAAAUAUAUCUUUUGUGUGUAACCACAAUCAGGCUGAGUUAAAACAGAAGCAGAAAAGCAUUCCUGAGUUUCCCCCAAGUGAAUGCAGUGUAGAGUGAGAUUUAGGAAGGUGAAGCUAUAUUUGGUAACUCAAUUAAAAUAACUACAUUCUCAAGUUACUUACUGGGAAACCAUGGUAUUCUUAGUAUUUUAAAACUUGUCACAACCUGUGCUAAUGUUGGCUUUUUUCUUCCUCUUCCCUGGGUAACUAUAAUCAUCUGAGAAUUAGUAUUCAGUAGCAGGUUUUUUUUUUUUUUAAAGCAGAAAACAAA